GGCGGUGGCGGGUUCCGGGCGCGCGCGUUCCCCCUCCGGUCCCUCCUGUCCCGUCGCGGCUGGGUCGAGGCCGCGGGCAUCUCGCGAGCUGUGGCGGAGGCAGGCGUCGUGGUCCCCGGGCGCUACCUCAGGGCUGCCCGGGUCAGAACGGCGCGUGGGACCGCUCCGAACGCGCGUUGCCGGGCCUCGCCCUCUCCUCCCAGAAGGGGCUCCCUGGGGUUGGGGGCCGCGGUCUGAGCUCCCGGCUGAUGUUAUUUAUCUGCUGAGAUGCGGCCUCGCUCUGUCGCCCGAGCCUGGGUGCGAUGGCGCCACCUCCGCUCGCUGCAGCCUCCGCCGCCCGGGUUCAAGCGAUUCUCCUGCCUCAGCCUCCGGAGUGGCUGGGACUACAAGCGCGCGCCAGUGUUUGUCUUUCCUCGGUGAUUUUAAAAGGACGGGGUUCGGCCUGGCGCGGCGGCUCACGCUUGUGACCCCAGCACUGUGGGAGGCUGAGGCGGGCGGAUCACGAGGUCGGGAGUUCGAGACCAGCCUGACCAACAUGGUGAAACCCCGUCUCCACUAAAAAUACAAACAAACAAAAAAUUGUUUGGGCGCCUGUAAUCCCAGCUACUCGGGAGGCUGAAGCAGGAGAAUCGCUUGAACCCAGGAGGUGGAGGUUGCAGCGAGCGAGAUUGCACCGUUACACUCCGGCCUCGGGGACAGAGCGAUUUACUCUGCCGGGUAAAUAUCAGCAGAGUCUUGCGCAGGUUCUGUUGUGAGUGUGUUAUUUUCCAGGCCCAUCUUCCUUUCUGCUGGUGAUUAUUAGGGCAGCAGCUACGUUCUUGGAGUGCUCAGGAACGGGCACUUCAGGAGCCUGAGGCUGGUUUUCCUGGGAGGAUGGAGCUGGAUCUGGGGGACGUUUAUAAGAAGAGCACGAGGGGAAAACCCAAACUUCUCGUGCCCUGCUUGCCACCCUGCUAGGUAUUAUACAGAAAAGGAGAGUCCAGGCCUCUGCUGCUGGGACAGGCUUGAUGUGGGGUCAGAGUUCCAUCUCCUUCCAGGGCUCAGCAGGCUGAAUGGUGUUUCCAGCCAGGGGACUCGUGAGGGGAAGGGGCAGGAGGAAGAGUGAGGAGGGCGUCUAACGUCGGGAUUAUGCCACCUUCGGCCCGAGGACGUGUGUGAGCAAAUUUCUGUCCCUGCAGCCAUUUCUGGUUUCCUGGGAGGUUGAGCUCAGUCGGGGUCACACACCUGCAGACAGGACAUGGGUCAGGGUGACGGCUUCUGCAGUCCUUGGCCAUGGCUCUGUGAAGGUGGCCAUGGGGGGACGGUGCAGUCUCUGAGAAAUGGCCAGUCCUCCAGUCAGCAGGGGUCCCAUCCAUGCCUUGGCUCUGGUAGCAUCCUAGCGGCAGGUGGGCAGCAGGAGCAGUCAGGAAUGACCAGAUGUUGGAGGACAGCCUCUAGCCAGAGAGGCGUAGUCUAAACCAACCAGCAGAACAGCCGCAGGCAGCCAGGCUGUGCAGAGGGAAGAGACUCCAAACUACCCCGUUAACACCCUUAAGGGUAACAAGGGACGCGACAGCUCCCAUGAGUCCAGGACCAGGCGCCCCGAGAAAGAGCACUCCAGUAACACAAAGGGGUGCUGGGAGGGUCAGAAUACAAGAGCUUGGGUAAAAACCCUAAGGAAAAGCUAAAGGCCAUCUCCCAGAAAAAGAUCAGAAAGACCAAGAGAUGAAAAACGUGAGGAAAGAUUUAAAAAGUCCGUAGGCUGGGUCAGGCAUCCAGUGUGCGAAAUGUGGUGGUUUCAGGCAGGAGAGCAGAGGAAACCCAGGGAAGCAGCUGUGGGUAAAUUCAUGACGUUAACGGAACGAGGGGCCACAGAGCACCCAGCACAGGGAAUGAAAGCGGCCACACCGACCAAGCAGACCACGUGGACACAGUUCAGAGCUCCGGGGCAGGGAUGGGCCAGAGCCCCGCCUGGCAUCUCACCGGAACACCCAAGAGACAUCAGACCCCAAUGUGGCCCCACAGAAGCUCAGAUGUGCCUCUCUGCAUCGCCGUGAGACCCAAUGAACAAAGACACCUCCCUGUGCUGAGAACCAAACUUCCGCACAACACCAGACCAACGGCUUCCUGAGGAACGAGUGAACUGCAAGGCUGGAUCCUCGAGGAUGCUUACGCUGGGGGUUUGCCGCUAGGCUGGAUCCUCGAGGAUGCUUACGCUGGGGGUUUGCCACUAGGCUGGAUCCUCGAGGAUGCUCACGCUGGGGGUUUGCCACUAGGCUGGAUCCUCGAGGAUGCUCACACUGGGGGUUUGCGGCUAGGCUGGAUCCUCGAGGAUGCUUACGCUGGGGGUUUGCCGCUAGGCUGGAUCCUCGAGGAUGCUUACGCUGGGGGUUUGCCGCUAGGCUGGAUCCUCGAGGAUGCUUACGCUGGGGGUUUGCGGCAGACGCAAGUCAGGAAACAACCCGGAUACCUGCUGCGGGCUUAGUGCCUUAGGAGAGGGCCGGAUCUUGAGAGGUUCUGCGGCCGUUAACGGUGACGCCAAACAGCAACGUGGGAACUGUGCGCGGCAGUCUAAUGAUGAGUGAGAACCUGAAAUUCACACAUCAGAACACGACAUUAUCUGCUCACUGGGAUCCCCAACUCUACGGAAAGAAGGUCUGCAGGACGGUGUGGAGGGGGUGCAGCUGCCUCCGAAUAGAGCGCCUGCCUGGCUUCCCGCAGCCUGUGGACUGCCCACGGCAGCCUGUGCGCUCCAGGGCCUGGGGCCUCCGGGCCUUGGCUUGGCUGGAAGCUGGCCCCCACAUGAAAGGGCUCUGAGCUAGGGAGGUCUGUGUCCCAGGAAAGCAGGGACUCGCUGCUCUGGGGGUGCUCUGAGGCCCCUCUUGCCUGUUCUGUGAGCUGGGGAUCUGACCCUCAGGUGAGAGGUGCCCUGGGGAGGGGUCUUGGGUGGGUCACCCCCAAAUGGGUGAGAUGCUGUGUGUCCUGGCCCUGACUGCUCAGCCCGCUCCUGCUUCCAGCGCAGCACUGCCUGUGCGCCUCCUCCCGGAUGCCCUCCCCUGCAAGCAUGAGGGGGUAGUAAGCACUCCCACCUCGGGGUGCGGGGAGGAGUCGGGAGCCAGGCACUGAGCUGUUGGUGGACAGUAACUGCUACUCUUUCCCGCUCUUCAUUCUAGCAUCUCCAUCGCCAGCUCCUCAAGCAAAGGCCUCCGAGCAGAUGCUCAGGGAAUGCAUGUUUCUCUGAUCAGCAGACAGCGUCCGCCCGCUACAGCCCCUGAAGAGGCGCGGGUUCCAGGAGCCGGCCACCCCUCCAUGCUGACAAUGUGGGCAUUGCUCAGCCUGCCUGAGGUGCCCCAUCCACCCCAGCUUUUCCCUGAGGAGAUCCUCCCAGGUGGAUACCCCUGGAAAGUGGCAGAGGCCGGGGGGAAUCACGACCCCCCUUCUGGUUCCAUUCAUACCUCCGGCUUAAUGAGCUGGAACUGCAGGUGGCAUUGGGGUCACACCUUCUCACUUGAUUAAAGCAAAGCACAAUCUG